GGCCUGGAUAGCUCAGCUGGCUAGAGCAUGGUGCUGAUAGCACCAAGGUUGCAGGUUCGAUACCUGCAUGGGUCA